CCAAUAGCGUAUAUUAAAGUUGUUGCAGUUAAAAAGCUCGUAGUUGAAUUUCGGGAUCAAUAUGUUGGUCGUGCCAUUGGUACGUACUGGCAUUAUUGGUUUCUACCUUCUGAAGAACCUCGAUGUCAUUAAUUUGGUGUCUUGGGGAAUCAGGACUGUUACUUUGAAAAAAUUAGAGUGUUUAAAGCAGGCUCGCGCUUGAAUACAUUAGCAUGGAAUAAUGAAAUAGGCCGUUUGAUUCUAUUUUGUUGGUUUCUAGGAUCGGCGUAAUGAUUAAUAGGGAUAGUUGGGGGCAUUAGUAUUCAAUUGUCAGAGGUGAAAUUCUUGGAUUUAUUGAAGACUAACUACUGCGAAAGCAUUUGCCAAGGAUGUUUUCAUUAAUCAAGAACGAAAGUUAGGGGAUCGAAGACGAUCAGAUACCGUCGUAGUCUUAACCAUAAACUGUGCCGACUAGGGAUCGGAUGAUGUUAAUUUUUUAAUGACUCAUUCGGCGCCUUACG
rnacentral:rRNA from 1 species